rnacentral:lncRNA from 1 species
CAGCUGUCAAUCCUGGUCUUACAAGCCCGUGGUAAUAGGAGACGUGCAAUCAUUAAUCUAGCUCUGGGAAGAAUUACCUUUCCAACUUUUUUUUUUUUUUUAAAGAAACAGUACAUCACAGCCCACAUAUACAGACAGAGGUGGGCAUCAGAGUUGAUUUACGCCUCAUCCAUCAAACUGAAAUAAAUGUUAUUCCAUGGAAAUGAAACCAACACUCACAGACUGAGGUAGUAAAUUCCCUUGCUGAACCCUGACUGAGGGGUGCUCCCAUUUCUCACUUCCCCCUCUUGUCUGAAGGUGACACUACACCCUGCCACCAGCAGCGUAAGUGCCUUUAGUAGCUCUUCCUCCCGAUGAGUGAUCAUGGGUUGUGUAUGGCCAGCCACUUGCUUUCUUCCUGAUUCCUCUCAACAUCUGGUCACAGCUGGCAGCCUCUUCCAGUGACAUUUUGGACCGUAAGUGGAUCAAGACGCAGCCUUGUCAGCCCCCACAUCUCAGGAUGCUCCAGGGAUCUUGGAAAUAUCUCAAAUAUAAACCAGAAUAUCUUAAACUUGAGGAUGUGUUGAGCAGAUAUGUGACUGCAACGCCAGUGAUCCAGUAGAUAAAAUGGGAAAGCAGAGUCCAUCCCCUAGAGCUUGGGAGGGGCCAAGCUGGUCUCUGAGGAUGGUGAAAAGCAAGAGGGAGGUGACCGUUCACUUGGUCCAGUGCGCUCCACUCCAAUAUUCACUAACGGGAACACGGCUCCUCAGGUGCUGGGGAGGGAAGUAAUCUCAGAAGCACUGAACACUGCUCCUACUUUUCCAAGAUAAUCAUGUGUGGCCUGGGCAGGUCCUCAGGCCCCGUGAGGUCCAGCCUCAGCAGAGUGUCACAUCAGAAACUUUCAAGCAACAACAAAUGACACCAAGAAUCUCAGUCUCCUUUGGAAGAAUAUCGGAGGCAAUCCAAAUUAUAAUAUCUAGAAACACUUCUUUAAAAACCCCUUUUCCAAAAGAAAUAAUUCCAUCAAAAAGUGGACUAAGGACCUGAAUAGAAUAGCCAAAAAACAUAUGAAAAAAUGCUCAACAUCAUUAAUGAUCAGGGAAAUGCAAAUCAAAAACCACAAUGUGAUACCACCUUACUCCUGCAAGAAGGGCCAUCAUUUAAAAAAAAAAAAAAAGACGUUGGCAUGGAUGUGGUGAACAGGAAACACUUCUACACUGCUAGUGGAAAUGUAAACUAGUACAACCGCUAUGGAAAACAGUGUGGAGAUUCCUUAAAGAACUAAAAGUAGAUCUACCAUUUCAUCCAGCAAUCCCACUACCGGGUAUCUACCCAGAGGAGAAGAAGUCACUAUAUGAAAAAGAUACUUGCACACACAUGUUUAUAGCAGCAUAAUUUGCAAUUGCAAAAAUAUGGAACCAGCCCAAAUGCCCAUCAACCAACAAGUGGAUAAAGAAAAUGUGAUAUAUAUAUAUGUAUAGCUAUAUAGAUAUAUACACACACACACACGGCAUGGAAUACUACUCAGCCAUAAACAGGAAUGAAAUAAUGGCAUUUGCAGCAACCUGGAUGGAGCUGGAGACCAUUAUUCUAAGCGAAGUCACUCGGGAAUGAAAAACCAAACAUCAUAUGUUCUCACAAGUGAGGACAUAAAGGCAUAAGAAUGAUACUGGACUCUGGGGACUUGGAGAAAGGGUGGGAAGGAGGUGAGGGGUAAAAGACUACACAUUGGGUACACUGUACACUGCUCGGGUGAUGGCUGCACCAGAGUCUCACAAAUCACCACUAAAGAACUUGUCCAUGUAAUCAAACACCACCUAGUUCCCCAAAACUAUUGAAAUAAUAAAUCAAUAAAACUAUUUUGCCUUCCUUUUUUUUCCUCCAGUUUUUACACAAUUGCUACAGGAG